rnacentral:rRNA from 1 species
UACAGAGGUCUCAAGCGUUGUUCGGAUUCAUUGGGCGUAAAGGGUGCGUAGGUGGCAGGGUAAGUCGGAUGUGAAAUCCCGGGGCUCAACCCCGGAACUGCAUUCGAUACUGCUUUGCUAGAGUACUGGAGAGGAGAUUGGAAUUUACGGUGUAGCAGUGAAAUGCGUAGAUAUCGUAAGGAAGACCAGUGGCGAAGGCGGAUCUCUGGACAGUUACUGACACUGAGGCACGAAGGCCAGGGGAGCAAACGGG